rnacentral:tRNA from 1 species
GCAACGGUAGUUCAGCGGUUGAAUUCCUGCCUUCCAUGUAGGAGAUCUGGGUUUGAUUCUUGGCCAAUGUA